rnacentral:rRNA from 1 species
GACGAACCGUGCGAACGUUAUUCGGAAUCACUGGGCUUAAAGCGCGUGUAGGCGGGAGGGCACGUCCGUCGCUGAAAUCCCCCGGCUCAACCGGGGAACGGGCGCGGAUACGACCUUCCUGGAGGGGCGUAGGGGGACCUGGAACUUCCGGUGGAGCGGUGAAAUGCGUUGAGAUCGGGAGGAACACCAGUGGCGAAGGCGGUUGCCUGGAGCUUUGCUGACGCUGAUGCGCGAAAGCGUGGGGAGCGAUCCGG